GGUGCAAAGCUGUUCUACCUUUCUGGAAUGGUGCAUGGAGAAUAUCAAAACAAGAAAUCCACAAUCUGGGCCGUUUUAUUACAGUUAUGAAGUUUAGACCUCUCACAUGGCAAACUUCUCACCUUUAUAUUUUAGCAGUCAGGAUGGAAGAUUUGAGAAACCCAGAGGAUAUCCAAACAAACAUCAAAUGUGACCGGAAGGUGUCACUUUAUGGUUAUUUAAGAGUAGCACAUUUGAAAAAUAAAAGCCAGAUUCACAUGCCAGGCAUAGGAGAUUUCACCGUGAGUGACAUCAGUUUCCUCCCAGACCCUUGUGCUCUUCCUGAACAACAGAAGAAGCACUGUUUAAAUGAGAAGGAGCAGCUGGUUUAUGUGCCUCUUUCUGGAGUUGGGGGUGUGCUGUAUGACAAAGAUGCUGUCUGUGUUGACCUUGGUGGCAGCCACGGUUUUCAGGCUUUGGAUGAGGUGGGGUCCACCCAUGAGCUGGUCCAGAGUCUCAUCUCCACCCAUUCCACCAUUGAUGCCAAGAUGGCUUCAAGUCGAGUGAUGCUGUUUUCUGAUUCCAAGGCACUUGGGUCAGAGGAUAUAAGAUAAUCAAGGGCUGUUGAUGCCAAAGGAGGAAAAACAAAUGGACUUGAAAACUGGUCGAAUGCGUCGGAAAGCCGUUUUUGGUGAUGAAGAUGGAUCUGGAGAUAGUGACGAUGAAGAAGGUGAUGAAAUGUCUGAAGAUGACGGGUUGGAAAACGGCUCGAGUGAUGAGGAAGCAGUAGAGGAGGAAAAUGCUGAGGUGACUGAGGAGUGUAUGACUGCUAAGGGCGUCAAACGACGGAAACUUGAGGAGUUGGAAGAAGACAGUGAAGGUAGAUUUGCCAGCAUUUGCUGACAGUGAUGAUGACCUUGAGAGGAGCUCAGCAGAAGAAGGGGAAGCGGAGGAAGCUGAUGAAAGCAGUGAGGAAGAGGACUGCUCUGCAGGAGAGAAGGGCAUUUCAGGAUCAAAGGCUGUCAGAGAAGGUAGUAAAGCAGAGCUGUCACCAGCUAAUCACCAGCGUGACCGUGUGAAUCUGGAGAAGUCUUUGCUGAUGAAGAAAGCAGCCCUCACCACUUCCGAUUCUGGGCAUUGCACAGCUGAAGAGGUGUUUGCGUCUGAAGAUGAAUCUGAAGAAAGCUCCUCACUCAGUGCAGAGGAAGAGGACUCAGAAAAUCAAGAAGCUCUUAGGAAAAAGUUUUCAAAGCCUUCUCAGGUGGGCAGUGGUCAGAAACUGGGGUCAAGGAACUUAAUUGAUGAGACCAGUGAAUAGAAGAUUUACUCAAAGAGGAAGAAGAUUGCAAGGAAGAAAAGAAUGAUCCCCAGAAAGUUUCAGGUGCCCUUAAGUGGAAGGAAGACCUUUCCAAAAAGGCAGUUGAGGCCUUUCUGAGGCAGCAGCAGCAAGCAGCUCCAAACCUCUGAAAGCUUAUUUAUGGGAUAGUGACAGAAGAUAAUGAAGAAGAAGAUGAUACCCAAGAAGAGCUUGGAGGUUUAUUUCGUGUCACCCAGCCUGACAGAGGGUGUAAGCACAAGGCCGACUCUUUGGACUGCUCCAGAUUUCCUGUGGAAGCACCCCAUGACUGGGAUUUAGAGGAGGUCAUGAACAGUAUUAGAGAUUGCUUCAUGACUGGAAAGUGGGAGGACGAUAAAGAUGCAGCCAAGGUCUUAGCAGAAGAUGAGGAGCUCUAUGGUGACUUUGAAGACUUGGAAACAGGGGAUGUGCACAAGGGAAAAUCAGGCCCCAUUACUCAGAAUGAAGAUGUAGAGAAAGAAGUUAAGGAAGAAAUUGACUCCAAUGAAGAGGAGAGUGCCAAGAAAAAGCAUCUGGAUAAGACAAGAAAAUUGAAGGAGAUGUUUGAUGCAGAAUAUGAUGAAGGAGAAAGCACAUAUUUUGAUGAUCUUAAAGGAGAAAUGCAGAAACAAGCACAGCUGAACCAUGCAGAAUUUGAGGAUCAAGAUGAUGAAGCCAGAGUUCAGUAUGAUGGUUUUGGACCUGGGAUGUACAUCUGCGUCAAGAUUGAAAAUGUUUCCUGUGAAUUUGUGCAGAACUUUGACCCCCCCAUUACCUUAUUAUCCUGGGUGGCUUGGGCAACAGUAAGGGCAAUGUUGGAUACGUGCAGAUGUGUCUGAAGAAACAUCACUGGUAUAAGAAAAUCCUCAAGUCCCGAGAUCCAAUCAUAUUUUCUGUAGGGUGGAGGAGGUUUCAGACCAUCCGACUCUACUAUAUCGAAGAUCACAAUGGAUGGCAAAGGCUUCUAAAGUACACGCCACAGCACAUGCAUUGCGGAGCAACCUUUUGGGGCCCUACCACUCCACAGGGAACUGGUUUCUUGGCAAUACAGUCUGUCAGUGGCAUGAUGCCUGAUUUCCUGGAUAGCUGCCACAGGAAUUGUCCUUGAUCUGGAUAAAUCCAUAAAAAUUGUGAAGAAAUUAAAGCUAACUGGUUUUCCAUAUAAAAUUUUCAAGAACACUUCAUUUAUUAAGUGAAUGUUUAAUUCUGCCUUGGAAGUGGCCAGAUUUGAAGGUGCUAUGAUUUGAACUGUCAGUGGGAUAAAAGGGCAGAUCAAGAAAGCGCUCCGGGCUCCAGAAGAAGCUUUCCAGGCCAGCUUUGAGGAUAAGCUGCUGAGCGAUAUUGUGUUCAUGUGAACUUGGUAUUCGAUUUCAGUCCCAGCCUUCUAUAACCCAGUAACAUCUUUGUUGAAACCAGUGGGUGAAAAAGACACCUGGUCAGGAAUGCGGACCACAGGUCAACUCAGGCUCACCCAUGGCAACAGACUAAAGGCAAACAAGGACUCUCUGUAUAAGCCAAUCCUGAGGCAAAAGAAACAUUUUAAUUCACUGCACAUUCCAAAAGCCUUGCAGAAGGCCCUGCCAUUUAAGAACAAUCCCAAGAUUCAAACAAAGGCAGGCAAGGUACCAAAGGACAGGCAGAGACCAGCCAUCGUACGUGAGGCUCAUGAAGGAAAGAUCCUCGCGCUGCUGGAUGCUCUUGAGUACCGUGCAUAGUCAGAAGAUGAAGAAGGCCAAGGAGCAGUGGCACCUGCACAAUAAGGAGCACUUCAGAGCCAGGCAGAAGGAGGAAGAGGAGAAGCUGAAGUGGCAGAAGGACCUCAGGAAGAAGCUUUUCCGAAUUCAGGGGCAGAAGGAAAGAAGAAACCAGAAGUCCAGUUUGAAGGGGGCUGAGGGGCAGCUGCAGUGAGCCUUUGGACUGGAGGGACUUCCCUGGAUCUGCAGAGUUGGAACUUUCUGCUCUACAAUCCAUGAUGGCUGUGCAAGAAGAAGAGCCCCAGGUGUGGGAAGAAGAGCCCCAAGUGUGGGAAGAAGAGCUGCAGGUGCAGGAUGCUGAUAUGGAGCCUCAGACCAGGAAAAUACAGAUUAAAGAAGACCUCAUAAAGGACCUGAAAACACAACUGGUUAUCUUGAUGUACCAGCUGUGGAAUGCCUGACCCAGAAAGUAUUACUUUGGGAAAAAUUUGCUUCAGUAGAAUCCUAGGGUCAAGAAAUUUCAGGAAACCAAAGACAACAGAUAAGUCAUUGGAAUAUAGACUGACUGACUCUCUCUCUCUCUCUCUCUCUCUCUUUCUCUUUCUCUCUCUCUCUCUCUCUCACACACACACACACACACACACACAUACACACACAGUGUCUCACUGUGUCACCCAAGCUCGAGUGAAGUGGUACCACGAUGGCUCACUGCAGCCUCAAACUCUGGGGCUCAAAAGCAUCUUCCUGCCUUAGCCUCCUGAGUAGCUGGAGCCGCAGGUGCAUACCACCACACCCAGCACAAACCUUGGUUUUCUACUGUAAAAUAAACCAUGGUAUUGGUUUUUCAUAAGUGGUAUUUCCUUGGGAAACUACUCUAAAGUUUCCUACUUUGAUCAGUAGCAGCUAUAGAUGCCUCUUUCUGAUGUGUGGUUCUGUAAAGAGCAGCAGUUAUUUUGGACACAUAUCAAUAGUUAUCUCUCACACUUGUAGAUAAGUCAUCUCUGUCUCAACUGAAUCUUUCUCCUCUAUCUGCAUUUAGCCAUGUUCACAUGUCUCCCAGUUUAAAAAAAGAGAAAGAAACCCCUGCCUUUGCCCCAACUUUCUUUGUAGCUACACCCUGUUUAACCUUUCUUUUCCAACAGACUUACUUGCCUGUACUCCCUAUCUCCAUUAGCAUCUCUCUCACUAAAUACUCAUCCCACUCCAUUCUGGCUUUCAACUCUACCUUAAACAGCUCUUUGUUUGUUAUACAUAAUCAUAUCUCAUUAUCUUUAUAGGACUAUUACACUCACAAUGGCACACGUCUGUGAUUAAUGGAUGUCUUUUUCCUCCACUAGAUAGUAGGCUUCCCUUAGAACCUGAAACAGAGUCUUUCCCAUAGAAGGUGCUCAAUAAAUAUUUAUUGAAUGAAUGAAGAAUAGUGGUAACUCCUAUGAUAUAUGUUUCCCUAUUGCCUGUCCCAUUUUCCUCUUACUCCUUUCUCUUAGCUGCUUUUCUGUGCUUCUAGCUUCUCUCUCCUUUUUCUCCUUUUUGCUCCCAUGUUUGAAUUCUACCUUACAGGGUUUUAAAGAUUAAAAAAAUUGUGAAUAUGACAUUGAUUUGAAAACUAUGCAAUAUUAUCAAAAGCUAAAGUAAUAAGAUAGCAGGCUUUUUAAGUCAUAGUACAAACUAAUGCAUUUUCUCAUUUCCCUGGAUGAACUUUGGCUGCAUGUCUCACUGUGCCAUUUGUGUAUUGCUGCUUCUCUCUUUUCUCAGUUGCUGCUGAUGCUAGAAGGACUAGUAGAUGAACAGAGUCAGCUCAAUGAGGACUUAGAAGCAAAGAGACAGCUCUCUAGCAGUCUGGUGAAGUUCCAUGCCCAUCCAGAGAGGUGGUGAAGCCCUUUAUUGUCCUGACCCCACAGUUCCUGUCCCAUGACCAGGGUCAGCUCACCAAGGCACUGCAGCAGCACGUAAAGUCAGUGCCAUUUCUCAUCCAAAACUGACUGCGAGAAACCCUGGGAGCUCAGGAAGGAAGGAGCUACUCAGAAGCAGGGACAGGGAGCUGGUGGGAAAGACCAGAAGUCAGCCCUUAGGCACCACCAUCUCUGUCCCGGCUGCCUCAGGGCACCCUGAGAAGAUUAGGAGAUGUGGGUGUGGUGGCUGCUUUUUUGGCUCCUCCUGCUGGGGUUUCCCAGCCAUCAAUCCACCCUUGUGAUCAGGUUUCUACUUGAUUAUUUGUAUCCUGGGCAUGACCUUCUUGGUGUUCUGUGGAUGCCUAUCCCUAUUGUGUUUUUGGGAGUUUCUACAGUUGGACUUUUCCUCUGAAAAAUUAUCUUCCAUCUCUGUGCUCAAGCCUUGGAGAGGGAGAUGGCUGAGAGGAAGCCUGCCUACAAGCAGCACAGGAGAAGAAAGCAGAGAGUGCCAGAGAGACACAUGAGUGAGGAGCCAGCCCAGAAACGCCUGUGCCUAAAGAACACUUUCUGGAGAGAUUCAGGACCUCAUUCGGUUCCCCCGAGGAACAGCAGCUGCAUCCCAACUGAAAACACACAGAUGACAAAGGUGUUUCAGUUGGCUGCUGAUACGGCACCAGGAUCUGUGUGAUUUCCUAUGCAGUGACCCACUGUGCCAGCUCAAACGUCUCUUCCUGGUGUGGCUCACUGUCCAAGUCUCGUUUAAUCGGAUGGAUAUGCUAAUCUGCCCUCCCAAAUCUCAGAUUGCCGGUUUAACAGGGUAUCCAGACCAGUGAGUUCUGUGCGGAGUGCCGCUGUGCUGCAGUGCCGGCCAAAACCACGUGAGCCUUAACAGCUGCGCUGGUGUACUGUGUCUCUCCCACACCUGGGAAUUUCCCCGUUCUGUGGGCAACAAAGAUUCAUCUGGAAAUGCGGAUUGAACUCACCCUCUGCAUCUUCACUGAGAGCUGCAAUCCUGAUUUGCUCCUACCGUGCCAUCUUGGCCAUCUCAAUCACAAUCUGUUGUUAUAAAUACAACAUUUUAUUUAGAAAUUUUCUAUAGCAUCCAGAAUAAGAUAAUCAUAAAUGGUGGCUUGAGGUAUCUUUAUUUAAAAUUUCAGUCCUCUGAGAUAACUAGUUCUCCAAGUGAAGAAUAUACUAUGGUACAAACUGGUAACAUAAAAAAAGGUUUUCACAAUACAGUUUUCUGCACCUUUUUGAAGUUGAGGAAUAGAGUAUUUUAGGCAAUGAAGGCCACUCAGAAAGCUAGCAAAGGCUGGGAGCAGUGGCUCAUACUUGUAAUCCCAACACUUUGGGAGGCUGAAGAAUGUGAUCACUUGAGGUCAGAAGUUUGAGAUUAGCCUGGACAACAUGGCAAAACCUCAUCUCUACUAAAUAUACAAAAAAAAUUAGCCUGGCAUGGUGGAGAGUGCCUGUAAUUUCAGCUACAUGGGAAGCUGAGGUAGGAGGUUUGCUUGAACCUGAGGGUGAAAGGAGUGGGGAGAGAGGUGGAAGUGAGCAGACACCACGCCACUGCACACCCACCUGGACAACAGAACAGAAAUCUGUCUCAAAGAAGAAGAAGAAAAAGAAGAAGAAGAAAAGAAGAAGAAGAAGAAGGAGCAGCAGCAGCAGCAGCUGGUGGCUAAUUGCAAUGCAGUUUGUAAUGGAAUUUUACCUUGUGCCAGCUAAAAAGAAAUCUUUUACUGCUCUCCAAAUGCAUUCGAGUCUGGUAGGAACCCAGGCAGCCAAGUUUUGUAUAUUACAUCUACAAGUGCCUAUAUAUCAUGUUUUUUACAAGGUGAGUCCAAUCUCCUUCCUUCAUUAGUUUCUCCAUAUGAGUUUUUUGGAUGGCCCAUCUGAAAUCUAGUCCAUGAGGGCCUGAGGAACUCUGUGGACAGAACUCUCCUAAAGAAAGAGGAAACCAGACAGAACAAGUUUGUACAGAGUGGAGACAGGAUCUCAAGGAGAGCUUGGUGGCUGCUAAUUGUCCCAGCCCAGGAUCACCAUUUAUUUAUAUCCAAGUCCUUUGAGGGCAAUAACCAAAGAGCUCUUUCAGUUGAGAACACUCACCCAAUUAGACAACAGACACAAAAGAAACCUCUGGGGGGCAUUAGAGAAUAUAAACAACAUUGCUUGUCUUACUUUCCUGAGGUUGAGUAACAAAUUACCACACACUAUAUUUCACACAACAGAAAUUUAUGGUCCCAGCAUUCUGGAGGUCAGAAGUCUGAAAUUAAGGGAGCAGCACUGCACUCUCUCCAGGGUCCUAGGGGACAAUCUGUUCCUAGCCUCCUCUGGCUUCUGUGGACUAUUGCAGCAUUAUUCCAAAUCUCUGUUUUCACACUGCCUUCUCCUCUGUAUGUCUGUGUCUUAUUCUCUGUGUGUGUCUUGUAAGGAUGCAUGUGAUUGCAUUUAGGGCCCACCUGGAUAAUGCUGACUAAGCACUUCCUGUCAACAUUCUUAAUUUCAUCAUAGCAGCAAAGACCUUUUCUUUCCAACAAGGUCACAUUCACAUAUUUGGGGUUUUGAUGUGGAUAUCUUUCAGGGGGUCAUUUUUUGGCCUACUGUACUACUCCUAUAUCCUAACAACAGAGUGAAACCUAUAAAAAGGGGACAGUGCUGUCUCCCUACUUUGUCUGCACUUUAGCAACACAGGGUGGCAGUGUCAGAUGCUGGCAACAGAUUCCAGGACAUAACGUUGAAGUUAGGCAGGGUGCAGUGGCUCAUACCUGUAAUCCUAGCACUUUGAGGGGUUGAGGUGGGCGAAUCACGAGGUCAGGAGAUUGAGACCAUCCUGGCCAACAUGGUGAAACCCUAUCUCUACUAAAAAAUGCCAAAAAUUAGCCAGGCAUGGUGGCAUGCUCCUGUAGUCUCAGCUACUUGGAAGGCUGAGGCAGGGGAAUCACUUCAACCUAGGAGGUGGAGGUUUCAGUGAGUCAAGGUCACGCCACUGCACUCCAGCCUGGUGACAGAGAAAGACUCCAUCUCAAAAAAAAACUGAAAUUGAACUGACUUAAUCAUAAGGAUGCAAGAGAAACUUUUGUGAACAUGCAGAUAUAUCUAAGAUGAGAAGCAGAGUGCUAGAAUCCUGCAUUAGCAAGAGGGUACAAGGAAUAGCUUUCAACCAUACUAUUCCAACAGCUUUGUACAUGAAAAAACUAAUACAAAAAGCCUGUGGUUUGCUCAAAGGAGGCAAGGAAGAGACUCUCUGUAUUCUCUGGUUGUGACUGUUCAACCCAUCCCAAGGGAUGCAGCUCCAAGCACAGUGUGCUCUGACUCACAAGGAAUAGCCAGAUUAGUGCCUGUCUAGGCUUUUCUCCCAAAUCCCAGGCAGCUGGAUCCUGCAGGCUGGUUCUGGCUCUGAAUGGUACAUUCCAGCCCCAGGCUGGCCCCAGUUUUAAAGGCCACCUCUGGGUAUCUAUGGGCUCUGGGAGACUUAGAAUGGAAAUGAGCAGACUCGGGUUGUACACCAGGCCAGAGCCAGAAUGCAGGCUGUUCAGACAGCCUCUGCAGUAAAUACACACUAAGAUGUCAUCCAGCAGUGCCCCCCAUACCAAGACCCUGCAGGCAGCACCAGCAUAUAAAACAACCUGACAGCUAUGGGCUGGAGAAAAGACACAGGCUGGCCUGGGCGGGGUGGAGACAUUGUUAAAUGCUCAGUUGAGUAUCUGUGGGCAAGUCUUGAGAUCUCUAAAUAGAAUCUGAGCUUUGUUUAUUGGUCUGGGUUGUGGUUUUUUCUUGUUUUUUUUUUUUUUCAGACAGGGUCUUGCUCUGUGCCAGGCUGGAGUGCAUUGGCACAAUCUUGGCUUACUGCAACCUCCAUCUCCUGGGUUCAAGUGAUUCUCCUGCCUCAGCCUCCAGAGUAGCUGAGACUACAAGUGUGCACCACCAUGCCCAGCUAAUUUUUUGUAAUUUUAGUAGAGACAGCAUUUCACUGCAUUAGCCAGGAUGGUCUCGAUCUUCUAACCUCAUGAUCCUCCCACCUCAGCCUCCCCAAGUGACGGAAUUACAGGCAUGAGCCAUGGUGCCUGGUCUUUUUUUUUUAAAGGAAGUACAAAUACAAAUUAUGUGAUUUCCUUUCCCCCUCUUGGCCUGCCUUGCUAAUCUGCUGCUGGAUCGAAGCCUUUUCAUCCUCUUCUACAUACUUUGUUCAUCUAGCAACGAGAGCAUUCCUGCCACCUGAGUCAUUCUGUCCUGUGCUGCUCUGUCACCCUGUGAGUGUGAAGCCCUACUCUGGCCCUCCAGGAGGAAGAAGGCAGAGACAAGCCCGGCAUCUCUGUAGCUGUGCAUUUGGCUUUGAAGUAGGAGGGACUCUUAGGAUGGAAAGUCUAGUGUAGGAGGGCAGAGUCUUGACUUUUGACAAUGAGGUGGGAAGGUAGGUGGUUUUACUGCAGAGGACUGAGUUUUACUUGCUGUGAGCCUGUUUAGCUCUUUAAGAGCUGAACCAAAGUGCUUUUUUUUCCAACUUAAUUAUUUGUUUUGGUCUCCAGUUUCCUGCACUUGCAGUUUCAGUCAGACUAGUUUGUUAAAAAAGCACUUUGAACAAAUACCAGAGGACAGGAAUAAAGAAAAAUACUGGCACUUCUGAAAAGUGUUGUUUUUACAUGACUUGAAUUUUUGUUCCUACUUGGGGUUACAAAAAGUUGUCUUCAGAAUAAAGAGUGCCUGUUAGGUGAGAGAGGAUUUACAACUGGACUUAGAGAUUCUGUGGCAUUGGCGACAUCUGUUUCUGUUUAUGGGCUUUAAAACACCAAGAAAAAUAUACAGGAAAGCCUUCCUUUUGUUACAUACUAGGUGUUUUACUGAAAAGGUAUAUGAAAACAUUAAAAAACUGAUCCUGGCCAGGCACAGUGGCUCACAUCUGUAAUCCCAGCACUUUGGGAGGCCAAGAUGGGUGGAUCCAGAGGUCAGGAGUUUGAGAUCAGCCUGACCAACAUGGUGAAACCCUGUCUGUACUAAAAAUAGAAAAAUUAGUCAGGUGCGGUGGCACAUGCCUGUAAUCCCAGCUACUCAGGAGGCUGAGACAGGAGAAUCAAAUGAACUCAGGAGGCAGAAGUUGUGGUGAGCCAAGAUCGUGCCAUUGCACUCCAGCCUGGGUGGCAGAGCAGGACUCCGUCUCAAAAAACAAACAAACAAAACUGAUCCCUAUUCAGAAUGCAACAGGUGAGCUCACUGAAGGGCUCUUACCAGUAAGUCUUAUAAAUUGAGGCACUUGAAGGGCUGGGAUUAGGGUGCAGAAAGCAAGGGGAGGCCUAGACUCUUGGUAAUUAGGAUAAAUGGUAUUUUAAUGCAGUAUUUUAGCAAAUCAAAAUUAAUGCAAAAAAAAUUUGAUCAUGAACAAAUAACCAAAAUGUUAAGUAAAGAUAGAAUUCACCCAUACCCCAUUCUUUUUGGAGGCUUCAAAUAUUUGCAAUUGCUAUUUUUUGUUUUGAGACAGGGUCUCACUCUGUCACCCAAGCUGGAGUGCAGUGACACGAUCAUGGCUCACUGCAGCCUUGACCUGCUGGGCUUAAGCAAUUCUCCCAUCUCAGCUUUCCAAGUAGCUGGGAUUACAAGCAUGUACCACAACACCUGGGUAAUUUUGUUUAUUUUUUUUUUGUACAGACAAAGUCUUGCUAUGUUGCCCAGUUUGAUCUUGAACUCCUGAGCUCAAGUGAUCCUCCUGCCUCAUCCUUCCAUAGUGCUAAUGUCAGAGGCAUUUGAACCACAACAACUCCAUUUUGAAUAGAGACUGGGUAAAAUAAGACUGAGACCUACCUGGCUGCAUUCCCAGUAGGUUAGGCACUCAAGUCACAGGAUGAGAUAGGAGGUUGGCACAAGAUACAGGUCACAAAGGCCUAGCUGAGAAAGCAGUUUGCAGUAAAGAAGCCAACCCAAGCCCACCAAAUCCAUGAUGGCAUGAAAGUGACCUCUGGUCACCCUCACUGCUCAUUAUAUUGCUAAUUAGAAUGCAUUAGUAUGCUAAAAGACACUCCCACCAGCACCCUGACAGUUUACAAAUGCCAUGGCAAUGUCAGGAAGUACCCUAUAUGAUCUCAAAAUGGGAGGAACCCUCAGGUCCAGGAAUUGACUGCCCACCCCCUUACCAGAAAACUCAUGAAUAAUCUACCCCUUGUUUAGCAUGUAAUCAAGAAGUAAAAAUAAGUAUAAGCAGUUGAGCAGCCCAUGGUGCUGCUCUGCCUAUGGAGUAGCCAUUCUUUAUUUCUUUACUUUCUUUUUUUGUUUGUUUGUUUUGAGAUGGAAUCUCUGUCACCCAGGCUGGAGUGCAGUGGCACAGUCUUGGCUCACUGCAACCUCCACCUCCCAGGUUCAAGUGACUCUCCUACCUCAGCCUCCUGAGUAGCUGGGAUUACAGGUGCACACUACCAUUCCCAGCUAAUUUUUGUAUUUUUAGUGGAGAUGGAUUUUCACCAUGCUGGCCAGGCUGAUUUUGAACUCCUCGAACUCCUGACCUUGUGAUUCACCCACCUCAGCCUCCCAAAGUGCUGGGAUUAUAGGCAUGAGCCACCAUGCUGGGCCUGUUUUUUUACUUUCUUAACAAACUUGCUUUCACUUUCCUCUAUGGAUGUGCCUCAAAUUCUUCCUUGUGAGAGAUCCAAGAACCCUCUCUUGGGGUCUGGAUUGGGACCCCUUUCCAGUAACACUAGGAUUACAGGCAUGAGCCACCACACCUGGCAGAUAAUUGUUUCAUCAAACCUGAAUGUAGGACUACUAUGUGAAGAGGCAGUGGGGGAUCUAAGAGGCCCAGGAGUGGAAAGGAAAAUGGGAGUUUAAAUCUACUGUGACCCUAUGUGGGAGACUGGACUGAGGUUCUCAAGAGAUACUGUUGACACAUUUACUUUCUUCUUUGUUUCUUUAUGGCAGGUGGGAAUGAAGGCCUCCUCCUGGUGGAACUGCCUUUGCAAAAAUUAUAACAGUGAAACAAUUAUGGCAGUGAAGAAGACCUCAUCUGGCCAACCCCCAUCUUGCCUUUGGCUUCAAGCUGCCCUUAAUUAUUUCUAGGCUUAGGCCAAGCUAACUUUGAGAGAUAUCUAGUUUAGAGUUUAACAAAUAGUAGCCCUUCCCAAAAAUUCAAUCCCCUUUGUAAAGCUAAUCAGAGACCACAAGACUAAGAUAAUAGAGGAGCCUGAAUUCUGCUAAGGUGGAGACAUAAAUGAUUACCAGCCAUUAUUCUAGAGGCCACAAGACAUCCAACUUCCCCAGUUACUCCUAAAGAUAACAUCACUGUUGUAUAACCUAAGAUUGGCCUUUGGAGAUACAUUUGCAGGUUUUUUGCAUGUUGCAACCAAUGGCUCCACCUGGGCUUGGCCACAGUUCCUGUGGCCCCACCCAGAAGGGACUCAGGGAGGAUGAAGACCAUUUGCCACAACUCUACAAUUGUGCCCCCAACCAAUCAGCAACAAAUAUGGUCGCCUGGCUACCCCUUCCCCAAAACUAUCUUUGAGAAAUUCUAGCCUUUGAAUUUCUGAAGAGUUGGAUUUGAGUAAUAAUUCUGACUCCCAUGUGACAUGGCCAGCCUCGUGCCUAUUAAACUUUUUCUUUUUUUUUUUUUUAAUGGAGUCUCACUCUGUCACCCAGGCUGGAGUGCAAUGGUGUGGUCUCAGCUCACUGCAACCUCGGUAUCCUGGGUUUGAAUGAUUCUCCUGCCUCUGCCUCCUGAAUAGCUAGGAUUACAGGUGCCUGCCACCAUGCCCAGCUAAUUUUUAUAUUUUUAGUAAAAACUGUGUUUCUCCAUGUUGGCCAGGCUGGUCUCAAACUCCUGACCUUGUGAUCUGCCCACCUCAGCCUCUCAAAGUGCUGGGAUUACAAGUGUGAACCACUGCACCCAGCCUAAACAUUUUCUUUAUUGCAAUGCCAUCAUCUCAGUGAAUUGGUUUUUGUCUGUGCAUGGGGCAGAAAGAACCCACUGGGUGGCUGCUAGGCAGGCACUUCUCCCCUGAGGGACCAGCUAUGCCAAGAUGAGGAAAAGGGUAGUGUGUAGGUACUUUUCAUUCUGUCCCAUCAGAUCAUCUCUGCUCCCUGAUCUGUGCUUUAGUGAGCAGAUCUUCAUGAACUCUAUCAACCAAGAUCCCUGCUGCCAUGUGUUCAAAUUGGGUUAGGCAAAUGGGAGGUAACAACAGGCAAUCAGAGGUUGGGAGACGAGGGAGGUCAUAGUGUUGAGUCCCUGGCUCCCUUCCAGAUGGGCUUCAGGUCAGCUAAGUGGUCAGUUUCUUUUCUCAGUUCUUCUCUCUGAGCUUUGUAACCACCUUCAAUGUCUUUUGACCUAGAGGUGAUAUUCUAGACCUGGCAUGCCUCAGCAUCCCUUAUGGGUUUCCCUUAACCCCUUUAUAAACAGCCUUUUAGUAAUCCAUCCUCUGCUGCUCUCUGUAGGUGGAGCAUCCAUCUCUUGUGGAAGACUCUAACACUUAAGUAAUGAGAGCCUAUCACCAAACAAAGGAAGGGCCCAGUCCGGGCCUCAGGCCCCUUGGCUUUGACAGUUGAGUUUCCACUCAGAGAAGAACACAACCCUGCCCUGCUUUUCUGGCUUUAGAUCCUGUGCACAGUCAAGAGCACCUGUGAAUUAGCUGCAGGAAGUUUAAAGAGGAGAUAAUUCCCAUUAAUAUCAUAUCUACCUCUUUGGAUUUAAAAUAUUUAUUCAAGAAUGAGAAGCUUGAUCUCAUUCCUAAGAACAUCCAAUCACCUGCUACUGAGAGGGGAAAGCCACUAGACAGCAGAAAUAAAUACCACUGAGUCACUGUAUUACCAUUAAGCUUUCUGACCUGUUCCAAAACAUUGAAAACAGCUGGGAUUUCUGGCCCCAAACAAGAUGCUCUGUGCCUCCUCAGCUGAGAGGAUGACAGGUGAAGACAAGAAACCAAGAAGCUUUGCUGUGCGCACCUUUCAGUUGGUGUCUCAUACCAUACGGCUCCCCAAAGUCCGUGACACCACUAAUGACCACCUUUCUAAGGUUGAAGCUAUACCAUUAGCUUUUUGUACUGAUAUGUUUAAAAAAAAUAAGCAGAGCCAGAUGUUUGAUGUGCCACAGGGAUUAUGAGCACAGGCCAGUGUUGAAAAGCAAUGGAAUCGAGGAUUGCAUAUGAAAGUCCUGAGUGUGGGUCCUGGGCCUCAGAGAUCUUUUUCCCCAUCAGACCAACCUGAUGGAAGGCUGGUCUUCAUAGCAGGAAGCAAGGGACUCCUAAUCUCCUUUCAGAAGAGUGUCACUUCCUAGGUUGUUCCUACCCUCCCUCCCUCUCUUCCUUUUUUCCUUCCUUCCCUUCUCUUAACCAAAGUUCUCACAAGCAGCAAUAUCAAUAGAUUUGUUUUCUUUUCCUUUUCCAGCCUAGCACUGAAAGUGACAAUAAAUAUAAAUAUAAAUGGGCCAGAUGCAGUGGCUCAGGUCUUUAAUCCCAGCACUUUGGGAGGCCGAAGUGGGUGGAACACCUGAGGAGUUCAAAACCAGCCUGGCCAGUUCAAGACCAGCCUGGUGAAGCCCUGUCUCUACUAAACACACACACACACACACACACACACACAUUAGCAUAGUGACAACUGCCUGUAAUCCAGCUACUCAGGAGGCGGAGGCAGGAGAAUCACUUGAACCUGGGAGGCAGAGGGUUGCAGUGAGCUGAGGUCAUGCCACUGCACUCCAGCAAGACUCCAUCUCAAAAAAUAAAUAAAAAUAAAUAAGUAAAAAUGAGCCAUUCAAUAAGAUUCAUCUAUGUGAUAGUCAAAAUAAUGGGUGCCUUCAGGUGGUAAAGAGAGAGGAAGUGUCCAUGUGUGUAAAAUUGCCAAGUAUUCACAUCGGAUUUUUGCACUUUGCUGUAUGUAGAUUAUACCCCAGGUAUUUUUUUAGAAUUGGGUGAAACAAGUUACCUGAUAGUGAUACUGUGAAUUAAAAGGUGUCUGCACUACACCCAGCUCUACCAUGGAGCUCCCUUACAUAUUGCUGAUAAUUGCCUGAAAGUCCAAUGUAUAAUCUACUUGAUAGAAUGAAAAAAUAAUAAUAAAUUAUAGAGCCACAGGAAGUUGCAAAAUAAGCAUACAGGGAAGUCGUAGCUCUCUUCUCCUCCCCCAGUAUUGGCAUCUUCUGUAACUAUAGUACAAUAGUAAAGCCAUGAAAUUGGAUUGGUACAACCAUGGCCCUUACUCAGAUUUCAUCAAUCAUACUUGCACUGUUCUGUGUGUGUGUGUGUUUAUGGUUUAUGCAAUUUUAUCACAUGUGCAUAUUUAUGUAGCCACCAUCACACUCAAGAUACAAAACUAUCCCAUCAUCAUGAUAUUUGAUAAAAUUUUAACAGAAAAGUCAUGUUUACAGUCCUCUCUGAAGCCCCCUAAAAGUCCCCUGCUGUAUUUAUUUACUGUUUUUUUUUUUUUUUUUUUAAGGCAGAGUCUUGCUCUGUUUCCCAAGCUGGAGGACAGUGGCACAACCUCAGCUCACUACAACCUCUGCCUCCUGGGUUCAAGCAAUUCUCCUGCCCCAGCCUCCUGUAUGGUUGGGACUACAGGUGUGCACUGCCAAGCCUGGUUAACUUUUUUUUGUAUUUUUAGUGGAGAUAGGGUUUUGCCAUGUUGUUCAGGCUAGUCUUGAAUUCCUGACCUCGAGUGAUCCACCUGCCUCAGCCUCCUAAAGUGCUAGAAUUACAGGUGUGAACCACCAUGCCUGGCCACUUGUUUUUUUAUUAUACUGAGCAGGGUGAUGAUUAGAAGAAUAGAAGACAUCUGCUUCCCUGAUGACUGUUACUGACCCAGCGGCAGCUAUGUAAUCUGAUUGGGCAUUCAGCCUACACAGACUAAGCAGAGGAUAGUCUGUGGUUGGGAGAGAGAUUUUCCCUCCCUCUCUCCCGGCCUCACUCAUAUCCCUCUGUUUCUCCAGAUAAACCUCAGUAAGGAAGCACUAUAGACUCUGAUGAUUUUGGCAGAUAUCUUAUAGCCUAACCAGCAUUGCAAAUGUCUUAAUUUGCUUUCAGUGUUUUUCUUUAAAAAAAAAAAAAAAAGACGGGGUUGCACCAUGGUUGCUCAGGCUGGAGUUCAGUAGCUAUUCAUAGGCACGAUCCCACUACUGAUCAACACGGGAGUUUUGACCUGCUCCAUUUCUGACCUGGGCCGGUUCACUCCUCCUCAGACAACCUGAUGGUUUCCUCUCCCAGAAGGUCACCAUAUUGAUGCCGAACUUAGUGUGGACACCCGAUCAGCAUAGCACAUUACAGCCCAGAACUCCUGGGCUCAAGCGAUCCUCCCACCUCAGCCUCCUGAGUAGCUGAGACUACAGGCAUGCAUCACCACGCCUGGCACUUUCAGUGUUUUUCUGGUCUAGACAUCAGUUGGGAUUUACUCUUGCACUCUUAUUUAUUCUUGUAUCUGCAGUUGCCUCUUGAGUGCAGUGAAGGGAUAUUUCACUGCAGUCCAGUUUUAUCCUCUGUGAAAACUGUAAGGGGAACUCUGGGGACAUGUUAUUAUUAUUGUUGUUGUUGUUAUUAUUAAUCCAUUGCUUGUCAGGCUCUAGCACUAAAGUCUUGCUAACCUAGAUUGAGAUGUGCUGGUGAUUCUUUUCCCCAAUGUAGAAUCAACAAGCACAUCCGUGGCUCUCAGCACAGUGCUCACUUCACCUUGCCAACUGAGAGGCUGAGCAGUUGGCAGGGAGGGUAAAGAUCAAAGAGAAAAGCAGAAGUAAAAUUUACAUCACUUGGCUGAGUGUGGUAGCUCACUUCUGUAAUCCCAGCACUUUUGAGAGGCCAAGAUGGGUGGAUCACCUGAGGUCAGGACUUUAAGAGCAGCCUAGGCAACAUGGUGAGACCCCAUCUCUACUAAAAAUACAAAAAUUGUCCAGGCAUGGUGGGGCAUGCCCAUAAUCCCAGCUACUCAGGUGACCAAGGUACCAGAAUCCCUUGAACCUGGGAGGCGGAGGUUGCAGUGAGCUGAGAUUGGGCCACUGUACUCUGUUGAAUGGGUGACACAGCGAGACUCUGUCUCAAAAAAAAAGUCACAACACUUAACUCUUUCUGACUCCACUCCAUUUGGAAAUGCUAAGUUUCCAAAGACACAUAAGGUACAAUUCAAUGAUUGCUAGGGUCUGAAUGUUUGUGUCCUUCCAAAAUUUGUAUGUUGAAAUUCUAACCCCCAAGGUGAUGGUAGUAGGAGCACCUACUACCCUCCCAUAUCACGUGGGAAUUCCACACAUCCCUCCCAUAACACGUGGGAAUUCUGGGAGAUGCAAUUCAAGUUGAGAUUUGAAUGGAGACACAGUCAAACCAUAUCACCCGUCUCUACAAAAAAAUACAAAACACUUAGUCGGGUGUGGUGGUGCAUGCCUUUAGUCCCAGUUACUUGCGGGGCUGAGGUGGGAGGAUUGCUUAAGCCCAGAAGAUCGAGGCUGCAGUGAGCUCAGAUCGUGCCAUGGCACUCCAGCCUGGGCAACAGAGCAAGACCUUCUCUCAAAAAAAAUCAUGCCCAUUCAUUGAGUUACACUCUAUGUCUCCUUUUGCACUACAAUGGCAGAGUUUAGCUGUGACAAGAAGUCAGCAGUAUUUACUAUCUGGCCUUUUACAGAAAAUGUUUCUUGACCCUUGUUCUUGGCUCACAAAUGUUAAGACAACAUGAAAAGCACCUUGAUAGAAAAUAUUUCUAAGAUAUAAUUAUUAACUUUUUUUUCUUUGGAGACAGGGUUUCAUCAGGCUGGUCAUGAACUCCUGACCUCAUGGUCCACCCACCUUGGCCUCCCAAAGUGCUGGGAUUACAGGCAUAAGCCACCUCACCUGCCCAACUUUUUUUUUAACACAAGUUCUCACUGCCAUUACCCAGGCUGAAGUGCAGUGGUGCAAUCAUGGCUCAUUGCAGCCUUCACCUCCCAUGCUGAAGUGGUCCUCCCACCACAGCCUCCUGAGUAGCUGGGAAUACAGGGGCAUGCCACCACACCAGGCUAAUUUUUGUAAUUUUUGUAGAGACAGGGUUUUGUCAUGUUGCCCAGGUCUAAUUCCUGGGUUCAAGUGAUCUGCCCACCUCUGCCUCCCAAAGUGCUGGGAUUAUAGGUGUGAGCCACCCUGCCAGCCAGUAACAACUCCUGAAACAAAAUAAUGUAAAGGCAGCCAUAUCCACACACACAUUUCUAAGAAAUAUAUCUUAAGGGGUUAUUGCUUUUCUUUUGAAGCUGAAAUUCCUACUCACAUAUCUCUGAGAAUUUCCACUAGUCUGGGGUCACAUUUGUGUUCCCAGAGCAUCAAAGAUGUUUGUAAGCAAGUGCACAUGUCAUUUGAUAACAGACAACCAACACAGUUGAGAAGAGCUUUAUAUGUAAAUUCUAUUUUAUCAGUCUUUAAUAAGAAUCUUCAGCAAAAUGAGCCAUGUCCAUUUUGUGACUGUUGUUCAAAGAACAGAACACCAUGUGACUUAGAAAAGUACUAACACUCCUUUCACAUUUCCCCUCGGCCUCAAACAGGAUACCAACCAGAACUCAGCUGUGUGUGGCACCUAGUGGAGUUGAAAACUGCACAGUGUCUUCUUGUUCCAGCCCUUGUUCCACCUCCAGUCAAGGUCAAGAGGUGGGUGUGGGACCAUGCCAGUCAUAAGGUGAUUCUACAUCAGCUCUGAACCCCCACUUCCAUGCUCUGCUUUGUGAUGCCAAGUCUCUGCAGACCUCAUUUCUGCUUUGCCAGUUGGCUUCCAGAAGGUUCUGCCCAUAGGGUGCAUGAGGAAGACAACAGAAGGCAAGAAGAGGGAGAAGGGACUGGCUCCUGCCUGCUGGCUGUUUCUUUCAGUAGUGCCACAGCAAUAGACUUUCAUCACCCUGACAAAAUCAGCUGGGUCCAGUCUCCAGCAAUUUUUUUUUUUGAGAUGGAGUCUCACUCUGUUGCCCAGGCUGGAUUGCAAUGGUGUGAUCUUGGCUCACUGCAACCUCUACCUCCCAGGUUCAAGAAUUUCUUCUGUCUCAGCCUCCUGAGUAGCUGGGAUUACAAGAGUAUGGGAACACACCAGCUAAUUUUGGUAUUUUUAGUAGAAACAGGAUUUCACCAUGUUGACCAGGCUGGUCUCAACCUCAUGACCUCAAGUGAUCCACCUGCCUUUGCCUCCCAAAGUGCUGGGAUUAUAGGCAUGGGCCACCAUGCCUAGCCCCAGUCUUCAGCUUUUUCACACACUCUCAGUGCCACCAGCACAGCCAAGCAGCACCCCCUUCCCAGGGGUCUGAGUCCCAGCUUUCCAGGACCUCUCCUCCAAAUUUCUAGGUCUGAGAAUCCCAACCUAUUCCCUUUGUUCCCCUAGACUGAGGCAUGAUGCCUACUUUCUACAGGCUUUAUCUCUGUGUUACCUCAUUUUCCCUUUCUGCUCUUUUCAGUCCUUCCUACUGGAUUAGCCAAUCCCUUAUAUUAAAUUAUCUCUGGUGAAAUACCA